CGCGAGCAGGAUUCAAACUCUAACCGCUAGGGUCUCGCGCACACUUCGCGUCAGCGAGAUUUCCAGCAGGUGGGCGUGUGCGUGGUGUUUUUAUUCAGGGCGGCGCGUGAAGUGUUGCCGUUGGUGGAAAAUGCUGGAAAGAGUCAACCCGUCAAGCAACGUUCUGUGGACCAGCAAAGCAGUUCCAAGUUUCAGAUCAGAGACAUUCAUCAAAACAUGACUAAAGGCCACCGAUGAAACGUUACAAUCGUGUAUUUUACCAGUCCUCCACUCUACCCAGAGCUUUGUUUCUGUUUUUUAAAAAAAAACUGCGUUGGACACAUACUAUAGUACUGUAUAUAGGUUUAUAAAUGAGAAACAGAAGUCACAUGACAAAAAUAAACAAGGCUGGAAAAAGACAACACAAAAUGAUUCAAACUAAUCCAUUGUAGUCUUAAGUCAAUCAAAAUGACCCUGUAGCAAUAAAAACCACAGUCAGAUAUUAA